rnacentral:rRNA from 1 species
AGUGAACGCUGGCGGUAGGCCUAACACAUGCAAGUCGAACGGCAGCACAGUAAGAGCUUGCUCUUACGGGUGGCGAGUGGCGGACGGGUGAGGAAUACAUCGGAAUCUACUUUUUCGUGGGGGAUAACGUAGGGAAACUUACGCUAAUACCGCAUACGACCUACGGGUGAAAGCAGGGGAUCUUCGGACCUUGCGCGAUUGAAUGAGCCGAUGUCGGAUUAGCUAGUUGGCGGGGUAAAGGCCCACCAAGGCGACGAUCCGUAGCUGGUCUGAGAGGAUGAUCAGCCACACUGGAACUGAGACACGGUCCAGACUCCUACGGGAGGCAGCAGUGGGGAAUAUUGGACAAUGGGCGCAAGCCUGAUCCAGCCACACCGCGUGGGUGAAGAAGGCCUUCGGGUUGUAAAGCCCUUUUGUUGGGAAAGAAAAGCAGCAGGUUAAUACCCCGCUGUUCUGACGGUACCCAAAGAAUAAGCACCGGCUAACCUCGUG